UGUAAAUUUUUGAGUCCGUAUAACAGGCCCACACGGCCAGUUACAUAAACAUAACAAAUAACUUCCAUUUCGUUGAAAAUUAGUUUGUUCACCUGCUGCUAUAUUAGCGCGAUUCUGCAGUUCUGUUUUGUGCGGUUUGUGCAUUUUACUGACUGCUUUUUGAGUUUCACUUGUGCAGGAUAAUUUAUUGAGGAAUUCUUAAUUGGCUGGUUAGAACCAACGGAUUCAUGUUGUGGAAUCAAUCUCUGGUAAAUGCAAGAUAUCCAAAAAGGAAAAGAUAUGCAGAUAGCUGGUGACCAGUUCUUUGGAUGCUGAGGGGAACUAGUUCACUAAAACUGGGGUCCUCUCUUCUCUUAUCAUCUUCAAAACAUAUAAAGAAAAAGGUAGCUUAAAGAAACUCAGAAUAUUUUUAAAGCUAAGUAGUAAUAGCUUCAUAGGGCACCUUGAGAAAGAGCAUUUUAUAUGCUUUUUGACUUAACAUUGACAUUCCAAAGUUGCUAUGAAGUCAAUGAAGAAAUAAAAUAAAGCUCUAUUGCAUCACAAGGAAUCAUCAAUAUGGUACUCAUGUGCCACAACAAACUAGUUAGUGAAAACAAUUAUAUUGGGUUUAUUUAGAAUGCAUCUGUAGCAUCUAUGCUGUUGUAUAGUGUGUUAGGUUCUAACAUAUAGAAUUAUUUUCGUGCUCAGAGAUUAUAUGCUUAAUAGUUAGGUCCACUGAAUUUGAACUUAUUUUGAUUUCCACAGUAAUUUGAGUCGUGUUAUGGAAUCUAUUGGUCAUGGUGGUCCAUGACUUAUGUUCUAAAUUCUCUGCCUAAUCUUUGAAGUAUGCAAAACAUUUUUUAGACCACCUCAACAGAAACAACUGAAUAAAAUAGAUGUUUCUCA